AGAAUCAACGCUGGCGGCGUGCCUAACACAUGCAAGUCGAACGAGAAAGUGGAGCAAUCCAUGAGUACAGUGGCGCACGGGUGAGUAACACGUGACUAACCUACCCUUGAGUGGGGAAUAACCUGGAGAAAUCUAGGCUAAUACCGCAUAACAUCUACGGGUCAAAGGAGCAAUUCGCUUAAGGAGGGGGUCGCGGCAGAUUAGCUAGUUGGCGGGGUAAUGGCCCACCAAGGCAGUGAUCUGUA
rnacentral:rRNA from 1 species